rnacentral:rRNA from 1 species
ACGGAAGGCAGCAGUGAGGAAUAUUGGUCAAUGGACGGAAGUCUGAAACAGCCAAGUCGCGUGAAGGAUGAAGGUAUUAUGUAUUGUAAACUUCUUUAGCAGUGGAGUAAUAAGGGGAUCGCGAUCCCUGAUGCAAGUACACUGAGAAUAAGGAUCGGCUAACUCCGUGCCAGCAGCCGCGGUAAUACGGAGGAUCCGAGCGUUAUCCGGAUUUAUUGGGUUUAAAGGGUGCGCAGGCGGCUUUUUAAGUCAGUGGUUAAAUCGUGACGCUCAACGUCAUCACGCCAUUGAUACUGGAGAGCUUGAUUGCGGUCGAGGUUUGCGGAAUUCGUUGUGUAGCGGUGAAAUGCAUAGAUAUGACGAAGAACACCGAUUGCGUAGGCAGCAGACCAGGCCGUAAAUGACGCUCAUGCACGAAAGUGCGGGGAUCGAACAGGAUUAGAUACCCUGGUA